rnacentral:rRNA from 1 species
AGAGUUUGAUCAUGGCUCAGAACGAACGCUGGCGGCGUACUUAACACAUGCAAGUCGGACGAGAAAGGAGACUUCGGUCUCUGAGUACAGUGGCGCACGGGUGCGUAACACGUAAGCAAUCUACCACGAACUCUGGGAUAACCCUCCGAAAGGAGGGCUAAUACUGGAUAGGGUCCCCGAGGUGUAGGCUGCGGGGGGAAAACGGGCCUCUGUUUUAUGCUCGUGGUUCGGGAUGAGCUUGCGGCCCAUUAGCUUGUUGGUAGGGUAACGGCCUACCAAGGCGACGAUGGGUAGCUGGUCUGAGAGGAUGAUCAGCCACACUGGCACUGAGACACGGGCCAGACUCCUACGGGAGGCAGCAGUGGGGAAUUUUGCGCAAUGGGCGAAAGCCUGACGCAGUAACGCCGCGUGGAGGAUGAAGGCCUUCGGGUUGUAAACUCCUGUCAGGAGGAACGACGGAGAAAGGGCGAUAAACCUUUUCCUUCAGACGGUACCUCCAAAGGAAGCCCCGGCUAAUUCCGUGCCAGCAGCCGCGGUA